rnacentral:rRNA from 1 species
AGCAUACGCUUGUCUCAAAGAUUAAGCCAUGCAUGUCUAAGUAUAAGCACUUAUACAGUGAAACUGCGAAUGGCUCAUUAAAACAGUUAUAGUUUAUUUGGUAAUCGAAUUUACAUGGAUAACCGUGGUAAUUCUAGAGCUAAUACAUGCUGUAAAGCCCGACUUCACGGAAGGGCCGUAUUUAUUAGAUAACAGACCAAUAUUCCUCGUGUCUAUUGUGGUGAAUCAUAGUAACUAAUCGGAUCGCAUGGGCUAGUCCCGCGACAAACCAUUCAAGUUUCUGCCCCAUCAGCUUUCGAUGGUAGUGUAUUGGACUACCAUGGCUUUUACGGGUAACGGAGGAUUAGGGUUCGAUUCCGGAGAGGGAGCCUGAGAAACGGCUACCACAUCUAAGGAAGGCAGCAGGCGCGUAAAUUACCCAAUCCUAAUUCAGGGAGGUAGUGACAAGAAAUAACGGGUCGGGGCUAUGCCCCGGGACUGCAAUGAGAUGAAUUUACACCCCUUUUCGAGUAACAAU